rnacentral:tRNA from 1 species
UCCCCUGUGGCUCAGUUGGUAGAGCAUGGUGUUUGCAACGCCAGCAUGGUGUGUGCAACGCCAGGGUUGUGGGUUCGAUUCCCACGGGGGGCC